CCGCCACCUGCGCCGGCUGCUUCCGGCGACCUCCGACGCCGCGCAGCACGCCCCCGAGCUCCUCACGGUCCGCGCCUCCCUCCCCUCCGACCAGAUUCUCCGCUCCCGUCCUCUACAGCCCGCUUGCAACCCCACCCCCGUGGCUAGGGUUCCGGGCAAGGCUUCGCCGGCUCGUCUCCGGCGGCCCCAGUUAUUUGGCUCAUCGUCGUGUCGCAAGUUUCUGACGUCGCUGUGCACUGUGGACUUCGCCAGAAAUCCGUCUGCACGUACUCCACCGUCUGCCGGAACUUCGUCUGACCUGAGGGUGGAGAGGCGAACCUCAAAUGCGCAACAUCUGAUCUUGCUCGCUGAGCUGCUAUUCCUGUUAUAUAGCAGGAUAAGGAUCCAAUCUUGUGACGCCACUCCAUUUCCAUCGUCAAAAGUUGUGCACGAGUUGAUUCAGACUUUCAGAGUUCAGAGAACACCUAGCAGAGUUAAUCAGCCUGAAGGUAUAUCAGAUCCUAAGGAAAGAGGACCCGGUUCAGAUUUGUCACUAAUAUGUGCUGUUGGAUAGCCAUGGUAUGUGUUAGUUUUAAUUUACCACAGAAGUUUGAUUCUUGGGAGAUAGGACAGGUGCAUACAUUACUUUUCUUAUGAAUCUGUUCUCUUUUUGUGCACUAUCUAUCUAUGAAAAUUUUCAAAGAAAUUGACGGCGGCGGUGUGGCGAAUGACGAAGCAUCUAAAAUGGACGGAAGAGAGGUGGUAAGGCGCGGCUGGGAGACGUACAUAUUUGAGGAAAUACGAUUCAUAAGGUUUCAUAUUAACAAAAAUUGAUAGUCUUUGUAAAGUAAUCCGAACAUUUUGUUGAUUCCGGGACAACUUUAUUCUCCAAUAUGAAUUUGUAAGAAAAGAUAUGGCAUACAUUUGUGUAAAUUGAUAAUGUAAGCACAUCUAGAAAC